rnacentral:rRNA from 1 species
GAAUGCUGACAUAAGUAACGAUAAAGCGGGUGAAAAGCCCGCUCGCCGGAAGACCAAGGGUUCCUGUCCAACGUUAAUCGGGGCAGGGUGAGUCGACCCCUAAGGCGAGGCCGAAAGGCGUAGUCGAUGGGAAACGGGUUAAUAUUCCCGUACUUGGUGUUACUGCGAAGGGGGGACGGAGAAGGCUAUGUUGGCCGGGCGACGGUUGUCCCGGUUUAAGCGUGUAGGUGUGUGUUCCAGGUAAAUCCGGUUCACUUUAACACUGAGGCGUGACGACGAGGCACUACGGUGCUGAAGCAACAAAUGCCCUGCUUCCAGGAAAAGCCUCUAAGCAUCAGGUAACAUCAAAUCGUACCCCAAACCGACACAGGUGGUCAGGUAGAGAAUACCAAGGCGCUUGAGAGAACUCGGGUGAAGGAACUAGGCAAAAUGGUGCCGUAACUUCGGGAGAAGGCACGCUGACACGUAGGUGAAGUGAUUUACUCAUGGAGCUGAAGUCAGUCGAAGAUACCAGCUGGCUGCAACUGUUUAUUAAAAACACAGCACUGUGCAAACACGAAAGUGGACGUAUACGGUGUGACGCCUGCCCGGUGCCGGAAGGUUAAUUGAUGGGGUCAGCGCAAGCGAAGCUCCUGAUCGAAGCCCCGGUAAACGGCGGCCGUAACUAUAACGGUCCUAAGGUAGCGAAAUUCCUUGUCGGGUAAGUUCCGACCUGCACGAAUGGCGUAAUGAUGGCCAGGCUGUCUCCACCCGAGACUCAGUGAAAUUGAACUCGCUGUGAAGAUGCAGUGUACCCGCGGCAAGACGGAAAGACCCCGUGAACCUUUACUAUAGCUUGACACUGAACAUUGAGCCUUGAUGUGUAGGAUAGGUGGGAGGCUUUGAAGUGUGGACGCCAGUCUGCAUGGAGCCGACCUUGAAAUACCACCCUUUAAUGUUUGAUGUUCUAACGUGGACCCGUAAUCCGGGUUGCGGACAGUGUCUGGUGGGUAGUUUGACUGGGGCGGUCUCCUCCUAAAGAGUAACGGAGGAGCACGAAGGUUGGCUAAUCCUGGUCGGACAUCAGGAGGUUAGUGCAAUGGCAUAAGCCAGCUUGACUGCGAGCGUGACGGCGCGAGCAGGUGCGAAAGCAGGUCAUAGUGAUCCGGUGGUUCUGAAUGGAAGGGCCAUCGCUCAACGGAUAAAAGGUACUCCGGGGAUAACAGGCUGAUACCGCCCAAGAGUUCAUAUCGACGGCGGUGUUUGGCACCUCGAUGUCGGCUCAUCACAUCCUGGGGCUGAAGUAGGUCCCAAGGGUAUGGCUGUUCGCCAUUUAAAGUGGUACGCGAGCUGGGUUUAGAACGUCGUGAGACAGUUCGGUCCCUAUCUGCCGUGGGCGCUGGAGAACUGAGGGGGGCUGCUCCUAGUACGAGAGGACCGGAGUGGACGCAUCACUGGUGUUCGGGUUGUCAUGCCAAUGGCACUGCCCGGUAGCUAAAUGCGGAAGAGAUAAGUGCUGAAAGCAUCUAAGCACGAAACUUGCCCCGAGAUGAGUUCUCCCUGAGACUUUAGGUCUCCUGAAGGAACGUUGAAGACGACGACGUUGAUAGGCCGGGUGUGUAAGCGCAGCGAUGCGUUGAGCUAACCGGUACUAAUGAACCGUGAGGCUUAACCUUACAACGCCGAA